rnacentral:misc_RNA from 1 species
GAUGAAGAACGUAGCGAAAUGCGAUAAGUAAUGUGAAUUGCAGAAUUCAGUGAAUCAUCGAAUCUUUGAACGCACAUUGCGCCCGCCAGUAUUCUGGCGGGCAUGCCUGUUCGAGCGUCAUUUCAACCAUCAAGCCCCAGGCUUGUGUUGGGGACCUGCGGCUGCCGCAGGCCCUGAAAACCAGUGGCGGGCUCGCUGUCACACCGGGCGUAGUAGAUUUUAUCUCGCUCUGGGCGUGCUGCGGGUUCCGGCCGUUAAAAAACCCUUUUAACCCAAGGUUGACCUCGGAUCAGGUAGGAAAACCCGCUGAACUUAAGCAUAUCAAUAAGCGGAGGA